UGGGAGUUCUGAUUAAGGUACCAUCAUGGUUGAGUUCUGAUGAGAGCCUUCUUUCUGCUUUACAGUUGCUGAAUGCCAAAGAAUUGAUGCUUUUGAACUGUGGUGUUGGAGAAGACUCUUGAGAGUCCCUUGGACUGCAAGGAGAUCCAACCAGUCCAUUCUGAAGGAGAUCAGCCCUGGGAUUUCUUUGGAAGGAAUGAUGCUAAAGCUGAAACUCCAGUACUUUGGCCACCUCAUGCGAAGAGUUGACUCAUUGGAAAAGACUCUGAUGCUGGGAGGGAUUGGGGGCAGGAGGAGAAGAGGACGACAGAGAAUGAGAUGGCUGGAUGGCAUCACCGACUCGAUGGACAUGAGUCUGGGUGAACUCCGGGAGUUGGUGAUGGACAGGGAGGCCUGGCGUGCUGUGAUUCAUGGGGUUGCAAAGAGUCGGACACGACUGAGCGACUGAACUGAACUGAACUGAACUGAACCUUCUUACUUAGCACAAAGCAGAGAGAAGAAGCAAACUCUCUCUAUUAUGAGAGCACUAAUCCCAUUUAUGAGGGCUCCACCUCAUGACUUAAUCACUUCUGAAAGAAAGGCUCUGCCUCCUAAAGCCCAUGCAUUCAAGGUUAGGGUUCCAACAUAUGAUUUUGGGCAGACACAAAUAUUCAGUCCAUAACAUGGGUUAAAGAGGUGAAGUGAUGGGAGUUGGGAGGAGGGUACUAGUAGCACCAUUACAGUCACACUGUUGGACCAGUGAAGAUGAGUUCUCCAAAAGAAAGAAUGAAUCGUUCUUACAAGAUGGAGUGAUGGCCACAUAAGAUAGGAAGCAAAGACCAACAAUGAUAAAGGAAGGUUUGUAAACCUCCAGUGACAUUAAGAAACCAAGCUCUUCUGGAUGAAAAUGAGAGAAGUCGUCUAUGUGGUGAAAAGUAUGUACAUCGACUUGAAAUCUGAGAAAAUGUUGAUGUCUUCUUGUUCUUCCACCAUCCAGGCUUUAAGAAUCCCUAUUUCUUCACUGACUUUGCAUCUGCCCCAGGUAAGAGGCAGUAUUUUCCAAAGAUGGUCACAAAAGUGUCUCCCAUCUCACAUGCUCUUCUUCGGGGUGACCUUGACACUUCUGCUCUUGGGUAGUAGGGUCUGUGUUCCUUCCCCUGGCUGGGUGAAACUUUGUGACUGCCUCGACCAUUAAAGUAUGACAAAGUGACACAAUGGGACUGGGAUGGUCAUGAACGUGCCGUGCAUGUCCCUCUUGUUCUUUUAGAG
rnacentral:lncRNA from 1 species